GACCCUGGAGCAGCUCAUCCAGAAGGGCAUGGAGGUGCAGGACGGCCUGGAGCGGGCGGCCGAGCCCACUGGCCCCCACCCGCCCGCUGAGGAAGAGGCCGAGGCCCUCACGCCCGCCCUCACCAACGAGUCCGUAGCCAGCGACCGGACUCAGCCUGAGUAGAGGGUGCCGGGCCCCGCCUGCCCGCCCGUGGCCCUUGCCCGCCGGGACUUUAGAGUGGCCCGCCCCUGCAGGGGAGCCCUUAAUCUCCUCGUGCAGCUGGACACUCACCUCAGCCUCCUAGCCCAACUCCAACAGACACGCGUGACCCAGAUGCGGGCAGUGUUCCCCAGACAGCCAAGGGGCUUCCCUUCCUUGCAGACCCAGCCCUCACCCUCCCUGCGUCUGUCUUCCCCGGUGGUGGACUGGCCUGAGUCAGCAACCCCGCCCUCCAUACUCUCAGGCCAUGACAGUUUCCUCAUCCUGCUCAAUGCCUGGGCCCUCUGGGCACUCAGAAACCCAGUGUCCAGAUGGCACGGGCUGGCGUGCACCCAGCUCAAGGAACACCCCAGAGCAGAAGCUCAGGGGCCACCGGUGCCCCCGGAGCCUGGGCUUCAGGGAAGCUACUUCUCCUGGCAGUCGCCGUGACUGGCUGGCACCCCUGCUGCCUCUCGGGGCAGCUGGCCAGCCUUGGGCAGUGUGGCUCCCUCCCCCUGGAGGAGAGCCCAAGCUCAAGACACAGCAGCAGCAGCCGCCGCCGCAGUGGCAACAGACCUGGCGAUCUGGGGCCUCCUNNNNNNNNNNNNNNNNNNNNNNNNNNNNNNNNNNNNNNNNNNNNNNNNNNNCAAGCGCCCCCGACCACCACCCGCCGCCGCAGUGGCAACAGACCUGGCGAUCUGGUGCCUCCUGGCCCCUCAGCACCAGUGAUUCACGCCAGCCUGGAGAGGGACAGAGCCCCGCGCGAUGACUCACCCAUGGCAGGCGGCAGGUCCCCUGGGGCCUGAGUCCUCCAGCCGGCUGAGGCAGCAGCCGGCCUCUGCCGCCAGGAAAGCGAGUGACGACAGGUAUGCAGGGGACCCCGCCCCUGGCUGUCCUCACCAAGGGCCCCCCAGCUCCCCCCAGCCAGCCUAGCUGAGAAACAGCCCCCCAGGACCCCAAGGGCUUGCUCUCUGAGAGGUCAGCCCUGCCCCGCCCUGCCCUGGCGGUCCCUGAGUCCCUGACCACCUGUGUCUUCCUUCCUUUCAGGUCUCCAGGCUCCAUGUAGUGGAGCCUUUGCUGCUGUGCCCGGCACUGUCCCUUGUCCUCUCCCCCUACAAGCUGCCUGCACGAGAGGAGAAGCCUGAGACCAGAGGAGGGGGCCUAACAGAGAGCUGGUGGUG
rnacentral:lncRNA from 1 species